GCACCUAUAGCGCAAUUGGAUAGAGCGUCUGACUACGAAUCAGGAGGUUGCAGGUUCGACUCCUGCUAGGUGCA
rfam:Leuconostoc mesenteroides subsp. mesenteroides ATCC 8293, complete genome.